UACGGGGGGAGCAAGCGUUGUUCGGAUUUACUGGGCGUAAAGGGCGCGUAGGCGGUCAGCACAAGUCAGUUGUGAAAUCUCCGGGCUUAACUCGGAAAGGUCAACUGAUACUGUGCGACUAGAGUGCGGAAGGGGCAACUGGAAUUCUCGGUGUAGCAGUGAAAUGCGUAGAGAUGUGGAGGAACACCGAUGGCGAAGGCAGCCCCCUGGGCUAACACUGACGCUCAUGCACGAAAGCGUGGGGAGCAAACAGG
rnacentral:rRNA from 1 species